rnacentral:rRNA from 1 species
AGCAUGUGGUUAAUUCGAAGCAACGCGAAGACCUUACCAGGUCUUGACAUCCCGAUGCUAUUUCUAGAGAUAGAAAGUUACUUCGGUACAUCGGUGACAGGUGGUGCAUGGUUGUCGCCAGCUCGUGUCGUGAGAUGUUGGGUUAAGUCCCGCAACGAGCGCAACCCCUAUUGUUAGUUGCCAUCAUUCAGUUGGGCACUCUAGCGAGACUGCCGGUAAUAAACCGGGGGAAGUGGGAUGACGUCAAAUCAUCAUGCCCCUUAUGACCUGGGCUACACACGUGCUACAAUGGUUGGUACAACGAGUUGCGAGUCGGUGACGGCGAGCUAAUCUCUUAAAGCCAAUCUCAGUUCGGAUUGUAGGCUGCAACUCGCCUACAUGAAGUCGGAAUCGCUAGUAAUCGCAGGUCAGCAUACUGCGGUGAAUACGUUCCCGGGCCUU